GUCGAGGAUUUUUCUCAAUGGGGGAAACCCUGAAGGAGCGACGCCGCGUGAGGGAUGAAGGUCUUCGGAUUGUAAACCUCUGUCAUCUGGGAUCAAAGCGCUCCACCUAAUACGUGGAUCGUUGAUAGUACCGGAAGAGGAAGCCGUGGCUAACUCUGUGCCAGCAGCCGCGGUAAUACAGAGACGGCAAGCGUUGCUCGGAUUCAUUGGGCGUAAAGGGUCCGCAGGCGGUCCGGUAAGUUGGAUGUGAAAUCCCGUGGCUUAACCACGGAAAGUCAUUCAAGACUGCCGGGCUAGAGGACUGGAGAGGAGACUGGAAUUGUCGGUGUAGCAGUGAAAUGCGUAGAGAUCGACAAGAACACCGGUGGCGAAGGCGGGUCUCUGGACAGUUCCUGACGCUCAGGGACGAAAGCUAGGGGAGCAAACGGGAUUAGAAACCCUGGUAGUCC
rnacentral:rRNA from 1 species